rnacentral:ncRNA from 1 species
GUUAUUCGAGGUGGACAAUUUCGUGGCAUCCACACGCCGCUGGUAUUGACAGGGGUAACCCCGAGAGAUGCAGGAGAACGCCACGCCUGCCGGAUAAC